UUCCUCACACCUAAAAAACUAGUCCUUCAAUACAUACCUCACACCUUAAAAAAUAUUAGUCCUUUAAUACACACCAUCCUCACACCUCAAAAACUAGUCUUUCAAUACACACCUUUCUCACACUUCAAAAACUAGUCUUUCAAAACACACCUUCCUCACACCUAAAAAAACUAGUCCUUCAAUACACAUCUUCCUCACACCUAAAAAACUAGUCCUUCAAUACACACCUCACACCUAAAAAACUAGUCCUUCAAUACACACCUCACGACAAAAUAGUAGUCCUUUAAUACACACCAUCCUCACACCUCAAAAACUAGUCCUUCAAUACACACCUUCCUCACACCUCAAAAACUAGUCCUUCAAAACACACCUCACACCUAAAAAAGUAGUCCUUCAAUACACACCUCACACCUAAAAAAACUAGUCCUUCAAUACACACCUU